UGAGGGAAUAUUUGGGGUCAAUGGGCGAGAGCCUGAACCAGCCAAGUCGCGUGAGGGAAGACGGUCCUACGGAUUGUAAACCUCUUUUGUCGGGGAGUAAUAGGCGGGACGUGUCCUGCUGUGAGAGUACCCGAAGAAAAAGCAUCGGCUAACUCCGUGCCAGCAGCCGUGGUAAUACGGAGGAUGCGAGCGUUAUCCGGAUUUAUUGGGUUUAAAGGGUGCGCAGGCGGCGUGCCAAGUCAGCGGUCAAAGUUCCGGGCUCAACCCGGUGAUGCCGUUGAAACUGGUGUGCUUGAGUGCGUGCGAGGGAGGCGGAAUGCGUUGUGUAGCGGUGAAAUGCAUAGAUAUGACGCAGAA
rnacentral:rRNA from 1 species